rnacentral:rRNA from 1 species
GACGAACCGUACGAACGUUAUUCGGAAUUACUGGGCUUAAAGGGCGCGUAGGCGGCUAGAUGUGUCAAAGGUGAAAUCCCUCGGCUCAACUGAGGAACUGCCUUUGAAACUGUCUGGCUUGAGGCCGGGAGAGGGUAGCGGAAUUCCCAGUGUAGCGGUGAAAUGCGUAGAUAUUGGGAGGAACACCAGUGGCGAAGGCGGCUACCUGGACCGGUUCUGACGCUGAGGCGCGAAAGCGUGGGUAGCAAACGGG